UGUUACAAGGAAAGGAUGUUGAACAA
rnacentral:piRNA from 1 species